UACGUAGGGAGCAAGCGUUGUUCGGAUUUACUGGGCGUAAAGGGCGCGUAGGCGGCAAAUUAAGUCAGCUGUGAAAUCUCCGAGCUUAACUCGGAACGGUCAGCUGAUACUGAUCUGCUAGAGUGCGGAAGGGGCAAUCGGAAUUCUUGGUGUAGCGGUGAAAUGCGUAGAUAUCAAGAGGAACACCUGAGGUGAAGACGGGUUGCUGGGCCGACACUGACGCUGAGUGCGCGAAAGCGUGGGGAGCAAACAGG
rnacentral:rRNA from 1 species